GUUCGGUGUUUUCCACAGUACUUUUUCUCUGUGUUUCUUUUAUCUGAUACUCACGUGACUCAUUAGUCCCCGCUAGGCUGGGCUAAUGAGAUCCUCCUGACACUGAGAGAAACUGAGACACUGAGGAGCUGAUGGACUCCCACUCAGCAAAUCUAAGCUGGGAUUAGGACCUUGCGAUGCAGAUAUGGCUCUGAUUCUUACUUUCUGCUAUGGGACUGUUGGCUUGCUCCAAAGCUUCAGGAUUUUAGAAGGCUAUGGUAAUCAGAAAAGAAACAAGUGCCCUUGUGACUACUGAAAGGAGAAGUGACUGUAGAAAAGGGGGAAGACAAAGUGGAGACCAAAUUUUAGUGAGAACCUACAAUGUUCCAGACCUUACACAGAGUGCUUUGUUUAUGGCUUCCAUUGCUUUGGAUGAGGAGACGGAGAGAUAAAGUAAUACCUAUGCAAGCACACAGUUAAUAAUUAUGCUGAUACCAAUAAAAAAUUAAUUGGAUGGAGCCAUUCUACAAAAACAGGACAUUAUGGAUCAAUCUAUAGGAUGUUAUUCAGGCCCACUGUGUGUCUGGCACUAGGAAGGUGCUCUCUAUACAUUUCCAUGCAAGAAAGGAAUUAUUAUUUUUAUUUAAAAGCCAAGGAAAUUGAAGUGAAGAGAGAUUGGUGCCUUGCCAGGGACUCUCAGCAAGUCACUGGUGGGAUUGGACGUUGAACUCAGGUCAAUUUCCAAGGUCCUUUUCUCCCCCAGUCUCAAGCUACAACUCAUGCUGACUCAGAAGGUGGAAAGAUUUUCCUGGUGAUUGGAAAACCUGGGCAAGAACAAGCUAUGCUCCAAAAUGCUGGGUGGCCCUGGGCAGGUCCCUGUCCUCUCUGGACUUUACUGUCCACCCCUGUGAAUUUCUCAGGACUUGAAUUCUACCAUCUUCCUGUAGUGACCCCCUCUGGAGGUGUGCACUAGGAACCAGCCAUGCUGGGAAUUCUGCCUCAUCUGUGCUUCCAGGAUUUGGGGCAGCCUUUGGCUCAGAGGGGACCUCAGUGAACCUCAAUUGACUGUGAGGUAGGAGUGGACCUGUGUGACUGCACAGGGGCUGGGACAGCACAAGGUCACUCAGUGUGUAACAGGGUGGCCAGGCUGCUCCUUGGCCCUCAUGUGACAGGGUAACUUCUCCCUGCCCUAGCUGCAGACAGGCCUCCAAGGGAGAGGUAGGAGCAAGGGG
rnacentral:lncRNA from 1 species